rnacentral:rRNA from 1 species
UACGAAGGGGGCUAGCGUUGCUCGGAAUCACUGGGCGUAAAGCGCACGUAGGCGGAUUGCUAAGUCAGGGGUGAAAUCCUGGAGCUCGACUCCAGAACUGCCUUUGAUACUGAAGAUCUUGAGUUCGGGAGAGGUGAGUGGAACUGCGAGUGUAGAGGUGAAAUUCGUAGAUAUUCGCAAGAACACCAGUGGCGAAGGCGGCUCACUGGCCCGAUACUGACGCUGAGGCACGAAAGCGUGGGGAGCAAACAGGG